rnacentral:tRNA from 1 species
GCCGAGGUAGUCUAGCCAGACAAGGCGUCAGACUGAUAAUCCGAUAGAUCGCGUCAUGUCAUCGCGGGUUCGAAUCCCGUCCUCGGCG